rnacentral:rRNA from 1 species
GUGUCAGCAGCCGCGGUAAUACAGAGGGUGCAAGCGUUAAUCGGAAUUACUGGGCGUAAAGCGUGCGUAGACGGUCAUGUAAGUCGGGUGUGAAAGCCCCGGGCUCAACCUGGGAAUUGCAUUCGAGACUGCAUGGCUAGGAUGCGGAAGAGGGAAGCGGAAUUUCCGGUGUAGCGGUGAAAUGCGUAGAUAUCGGAAGGAACACCAGUGGCGAAAGCGGCUUCCUGGUCCAGCAUCGACGUUCAGGCACGAAAGCGUGGGGAGCAAACAGGAUUAGAUACCCUGGUAGUCCACGCCAUAAACGAUGAGAACUAGACGUUGAGAGGGUAAGCCUCCCAGUGUCGCAGCUAACGCGCUAAGUUCUCCGCCUGGGGAGUACGGCCGCAAGGUUGAA